rnacentral:rRNA from 1 species
ACGGAAGGCAGCAGUGGGGAAUAUUGGGCAAUGGGCGAAAGCCUGACCCAGCGACGCCGCGUGAGGGAAGAAGAUCUUCGGAUUGUAAACCUUUGUCUUUGGUGAAGAAAAAAAUGACGGUAGCCAAGGAGGAAGCCACGGCUAACUACGUGCCAGCAGCCGCGGUAAUACGUAGGUGGCAAGCGUUAUCCGGAUUUACUGGGUGUAAAGGGAGCGCAGGCGGGACAGCAAGUUGGAUGUGAAAUACCGAGGCUUAACCACGGAGCUGCAUCCAGAACUGUUGUUCUUGAGUGAAGUAGAGGUAGGCGGAAUUCCGAGUGUAGCGGUGAAAUGCGUAGAUAUUCGGAGGAACACCAGUGGCGAAGGCGGCCUACUGGGCUUUAACUGACGCUGAGGCUCGAAAGUGUGGGGAGCAAACAGGAUUAGAUACCCUGGUA